AGUCGAGCGAUGAAACACCUUCUGGGUGUGAAUUAGCGGCGAACGGGUGAGGAACACGUGAAGAAUCUGCCUUCAACUCUGGGAUAACUCCGGGAAACCGGGGCUAAUACCGGAUAUGAGCCUUGAUCGCAUGAUCGGGGCUGGAAAGUUUUUCGGUUGAAGAUGACUUCGCGGCCUAUCAGCUUGUUGGUGAGGUAAUGGCUCACCAAGGCGACGACGGGUAGCCGGCCUGAGAGGGCGACCGGCCACACUGGGACUGAGACACGGCCCAGACUCCUACGGGAGGCAGCAGUGGGGAAUAUUGGGCAAUGGAGGAAACUCUGACCCAGCGACGCCGCGUGAGGGAUGAAGGCCUUCGGGUUGUAAACCUCUUUCAAUAGGGAAGAAGCGAAAGUGACGGUACCUACAGAAGAAGCACCGGCUAACUAUGUGCCAGCAGCCGCGGUAAUACAUAGGGUGCAAGCGUUGUCCGGAAUUAUUGGGCGUAAAGAGCUCGUAGGUGGUUCGAUACGUCGGAUGUGAAAAUCAGGGGCUCAACCCCUGACCUGCAUCCGAUACGGUCGAGCUAGAGUUUGGUAGGGGAGACUGGAAUUCCUGGUGUAGCGGUGGAAUGCGCAGAUAUCAGGAGGAACACCGAUGGCGAAGGCAGGUCUCUGGGCCAAUACUGACACUGAGGAGCGAAAGCGUGGGGAGCGAACAGGAUUAGAUACCCUGGUAGUCCACGCCGUAAACGGUGGGCGCUAGUUGUGCGAACCUUCCACGGUUUGUGCGACGCAGCUAACGCAUUAAGCGCCCCGCCUGGGGAGUACGAUCGCAAGAUUAAAACUCAAAGGAAUUGACGGGGCCCCGCACAAGCAGCGGAGCAUGCGGCUUAAUUCGACGCAACGCGAAGAACCUUACCAAGGCUUGACAUAUACAGGAAUAUGGCAGAGAUGUCAUAGCCGCAAGGUCUGUAUAC
rnacentral:rRNA from 1 species